rnacentral:rRNA from 1 species
GACGAACGCUGGCGGCGUGCUUAACACAUGCAAGUCGAGCGGUAAGGCCUUUCGGGGUACACGAGCGGCGAACGGGUGAGUAACACGUGGGUGAUCUGCCCUGCACUUCGGGAUAAGCCUGGGAAACUGGGUCUAAUACCGGAUAUGACCUCCUAUCGCAUGGUGGGUGGGGGAAAGAUUUAUCGGUGCAGGAUGGGCCCGCGGCCUAUCAGCUUGUUGGUGGGGUAAUGGCCUACCAAGGCGACGACGGGUAGCCGACCUGAGAGGGUGACCGGCCACACUGGGACUGAGACACGGCCCAGACUCCUACGGGAGGCAGCAGUGGGGAAUAUUGCACAAUGGGCGAAAGCCUGAUGCAGCGACGCCGCGUGAGGGAUGACGGCCUUCGGGUUGUAAACCUCUUUCAGCAGGGACGAAGCGCAAGUGACGGUACCUGCAGAAGAAGCACCGGCUAACUACGUG